UGAAUAUUCCCUUCAUUCAAAAAAACUUGUCCCAAGCUUGUCUCUCAAAUGAAUGUAUCUAGCAUUAACUUGUUGCUAGAUACAUUCAUCUGAGGGACAAACUUUUUCGGAAGGAGGAAGUAAUAA
rfam:Triticum aestivum genome assembly, contig: Triticum_aestivum_CS42_TGACv1_scaffold_602922_7DL